ACAUGAGGUAGUAAACAAGAUCUGUGGCAACUACUUUCAAGACCAUAAUCAGUAAAUUGGAGCUAAAUUAUUGAUCACAUCAUAGUAUUUAACAUGUAACAUAAAACUAGAAACACAAGACUUGUGGGCAGGUGUAGUUGCAUCUGUAGUUGCACCUUGUGGGCAGGCGCACCCUCAAACUUGUGGGCAGCUGUAGUUGUAUCUAUAUCAUCUUUUUCAGGGAUAUACAUAUAGGUGCAUAUAUGAUUU
rnacentral:lncRNA from 1 species